CAAUAAUCCUUUUUGUUGGUUCCAACUCUGGCUUGCUAGGGCGACUACAGAUCCGGCAAGUGCAACUACAAAUCCGACAAGUACGAUUAUCUCGACGGAAUAAUCAAAUAGAAAAUGGAGGAAGAAACCGUUAGAGAAUCUGCGUUCAACGCUGACAGAGUGCAAGAUAUAGUUGAGUCAGUUCCUCUUCUUUCACCAGCUAGACCUCAAAGAUUAUUCUUCAAUCAAACAAGUUAUCAACAAAAAUUGAGAUUAGAAUCGAGGUGUUCUAUUGAACAGACGGUUACUUUCUUAAGGAAUCAACUUUUAGCAGAUGAGCUUGGAUGGUUCACAUAACACCCACAAUUUAGACACAUCGUCCAUAUGCAUUGGGACAAUACGCGUAAAUUCACGGGUAUGUGGACUUUACUUCUUCGAACAGCUGACAUUAUGGAGAUGAAUGAAUGUUGGUUCAUCGUGAAUGGUGUUCCCAUUCGCUAUUCAAUCAAGGAGCAUGUCUUGAUUAGCGGGUUACACUGCCAUGAGCUCCCAGCAGAUUACGAAAACCAAUCGGACAGUACUGAUUUUUCUGAUAGGCUGUUUAAGGGUGAAAAAAUAAAUUUGGCAACUGUGUUAGCAAAGCUAGAAUAAAUGAGGUGAUGACCGUUUAAAGAUGACAUUGUUGUACUUCUUAGGGACUGUCGUUCAAGGAAAGAAGAAAUUCAAACAAACACUUGUGAGGCCUUUCUUGUACAAGAUAGUUGUCAAUCUAGAGUUGUGUAAGUCUAAUGAAAAAUUUUGAAGGCACUGUGAACAACUCAUGGGCGUUUCCUGGUUUCAUGAUACCACUUGAGAUGUUAGCAUUUGAAUCUAUUCCAAAACUAAAGAACGAGUGCCAAGAAGAUGUCGAACACGCAAACAAUGCAUGUCCAAGGAUGUGCAAGAAGAAGUUCAUAAAAUCAGGUGGUACUGGAUUUCCGUUGGAAAAAUUUUGUAAUGCUCUUGGAACUACGAAGGUUAGAACUCACCUUAAUUUGAAAUUACUUAUCUUAAUCAUUAUUCAACUAUAGGUUUUGUGUAAUUUAUAGUUCUUUAAAGGAUAUUCAUAGUAUAUUGGUACCUGAGUUGGAUGAGCA